AAUCGUGCAUCAGCUCAUAGCGUAUAUUAAGUUGUUGCAGUUAAAAAGCUCGUAGUUGAAUUUCGGGAUUUGUCAGUUGGUCGGGCUUMACUGUCCGUAUUGACUYGAUGGAUUCUUACCUUCUGAAUAACCAGCAUGCUAUUAAKUUAGUGCGUUGGGGAAGCAGAUCUAUUACCUUGAAAAAAUUAGAGUGCUUAAAGCGAGCUAGUGCUUGAAUAGAUUAGCAUGGAAUAAUAAAAUAGGACGGCAUGGUUCUAUUUUGUUGGUUUCUAGGAUCACCGUAAUGAUUAAUAGGGAUAGKKGGGGGCAUUAGUAUUCAAUUGUCAGAGGUGAAAUUCUUGGAUUUAUUGAAGACUAACUUCUGCGAAAGCAUUUGCCAAGGAUGUUUUCAUUAAUCAAGAACGAAAGUUAGGGGAUCGAAGACGAUCAGAUACCGUCGUAGUCUUAACCAUAAACUAUGCCGACUAGGAAUCGGACGAUGUUAAUUUUAUAAUGACUCGUUCGGCGCCUACGGGRAAAAAMACCU
rnacentral:rRNA from 1 species